CUAUGGUUGAAUUGCAGAAUUCAGUGAAUCAUCGAGUCUUUGAACGCACAUUGCGCCCUCUGGUAUUCCGGAGGGCAUGCCUGUCCGAGCGUCAUUGCUGCCCUCAAGCCCGGCUUGUGUGUUGGGCCCCGUCCCCCCCGCCGGGGGGACGGGCCCRAAAGGCAGCGGCGGCACCGCGUCCGGUCCUCAAGCGUAUGGGGCUUCGUCACCCGCUCUAGUAGGCCCGGCCGGAGCCAGCCGACCCCCAACCUUUAAUUAUCUCAGGUUGAACUCGGAUCAGGUAGGGAUACCCGCUGAACUUAAGCAAAUCAAUAAGCGGAGGAA
rnacentral:rRNA from 1 species